ACAUGCAUAUUGGACCAUAAUAAUGUUACGAUACUUUUUGAAAAGUGGUAGCACAAUGGAAAAUCAUCUGGCUAACUCAAGUUUUUGUUUCUAGUAUUUAAAGUCAAAAACACUGUCAAUUGUGUCUAAGUAUUAGUGAAAAUCAUGUUCAAUUAUUCCAACUUUCCUAAUUCUUUGGCCGAAACCCAUUAAGCAAUGUAUAUACAUUUCAAACACAGUCAUAAUUUGUUUCUGAAACAUGAUUACAUAUCCAACGUUGGUGAUUUGAUUCAGAGAUCAAUUCGUAGCAGUAUGUUUGAUCAAACGGAUUACAAAUUAAUCUAAAGUAAAGAGAAUAGUAAACGUCGGUAAUCAAAUGGGACCUACUCCCAACCGUGGACACAUUAUAGUCAUCAUUUAACCCUAAUCAACGAGACUUACACACCUACUCAACAAA
rnacentral:lncRNA from 1 species